GCAGCAAGAGUUAGAGAUGUGAAAAAACAACGAUGCAUCGACAAUCGAUGUUUUUGGCGAUGUUUUCCGAUGUUUUCCGAUGUUUUUAUUGAUACCGAUGUUAAGCGAUGCAUCGAUGUUUGACAGAACAUCGGGCGUUAAAUUUCACAACAUUGCAGAACAUAUGGAUACACUGCCACAUAGAAAAAUUCGCGAAUUUGUUUUAUUUUUUUACCCUGUGUUUGCAAUGCCAAAAAUAACAACAAAGACAAGCUUUUGCUGGAGGCACUUUACAAAAAUUGAUGGAAAUAGCG